AAGGCCCGGCACCCUUUCCCAUUCAAGAUCAGCGAUUGGCCCCGCCCUUUAAUAGGCCCCGCCCCUCAGUCUGGGCGCUCCUUUCCGCUGGGACCUUGGGGCACUCCACUGGUCCCCUCAAGCCUCAGAUCGGGUAAAUUAGGAGGAGAACAGAUGGCGACGCAGACGGUGUGUUUGAAGAUGCCCCUGGAGGACUUCUUGGAAGAGGAGGCAAUGGAGGCCUCUGCAGUACCGUGUGUGGCAGGGGAAGCACGUGAAACCUACUUGAGACACUCCCAAUGUAGAUUAUGUGUGGCCCUCUGGAACCCAGUGUCAAUUACAAUGUGACAGUCAUGGUGAUACCA